UGGGGAAUUUUGGACAAUGGGCGAAAGCCUGAUCCAGCAAUGCCGCGUGUGUGAAGAAGGCCUUCGGGUUGUAAAGCACUUUUGUCCGGAAAGAAAUCCUUGGCUCUAAUACAGUCGGGGGAUGACGGUACCGGAAGAAUAAGCACCGGCUAACUACGUGCCAGCAGCCGCGGUAAUACGUAGGGUGCAAGCGUUAAUCGGAAUUACUGGGCGUAAAGCGUGCGCAGGCGGUUUGCUAAGACCGAUGUGAAAUCCCCGGGCUCAACCUGGGAACUGCAUUGGUGACUGGCAGGCUAGAGUAUGGCAGAGGGGGGUAGAAUUCCACGUGUAGCAGUGAAAUGCGUAGAGAUGUGGAGGAAUACCGAUGGCGAAGGCAGCCCCCUGGGCCAAUACUGACGCUCAUGCACGAAAGCGUGGGGGAGCAAACAGGAUUAGAUACCCUGGUAGUCCACGCCCUAAACGAUGUCAACUAGUUGUUGGGGGAUUCAUUUCCUUAGUAACGUAGCUAACGCGUGAAGUUGACCGCCUGGGGAGUACGGUCGCAAGAUUAAAACUCAAAUGAAUUGACGGGGUCAUAGCUG
rnacentral:rRNA from 1 species